rnacentral:rRNA from 1 species
ACGAAGAAGGCUUUCGAGUCGUAAAGUUCUUUUAUAUGGGAAGAUAAUGACGGUACCAUAAGAAAAAGCCCCGGCUAACUACGUGCCAGCAGCCGCGGUAAUACGUAGGGGGCUAGCGUUGUCCGGAAUCACUGGGCGUAAAGGGUUCGCAGGCGGAAAUGCAAGUCAGGUGUAAAAGGCAGUAGCUUAACUACUGUAAGCAUUUGAAACUGCAUAUCUUGAGAAGAGUAGAGGUAAGUGGAAUUUUUAGUGUAGCGGUGAAAUGCGUAGAUAUUAAAAAGAAUACCGGUGGCGAAGGCGACUUACUGGGCUCAUUCUGACGCUGAGGAACGAAAGCGUGGGUAGCAAACAGGAUUAGAUACCCUGGUAGUCCACGCUGUAAACGAUGAGUGCUAGGUAUCGGAAUAAUUCGGUGCCGCAGUUAACACAUUAAGCACUCCGCCUGGGGAGUACGUGCGCAAGCAUGAAACUCAAAGGAAUUGACGGGGACCCGCACAAGCAGCGGAGCAUGUGGUUUAAUUCGAAGCAACGCGAAGAACCUUACCAGGGCUUGACAUACUGAGGACCGGUAUAGAGAUAUACCCUCUUCUUCGGAAGCCUCAAUACAGGUGGUGCAUGGUUGUCGUCAGCUCGUGUCGUGAGAUGUUGAGUUAAGUCUGGCAACGAGCGCAACCCCUAUCUUUAGUUACCAGCAUUUCGGAUGGGGACUCUAAAGAGACUGCCGAUGAUAAAUCGGAGGAAGGUGGGGAUGACGUCAAAUCAUCAUGCCCUAUAUGCCCUGGGCUACACACGUGCUACAAUGGAAGAUACAAAGGGAAGCGAAAUAGUGAUAUUAAGCAAACCUCAAAAAGUCUUUCCCAGUUCGGAUUGUACUCUGCAACUCGAGUACAUGAAGAUGGAGUUGCUAGUAAUCGCAGAUCAGAAUGCUGCGGUGAAUGCGUUCCCGGGUCUUGUACACACCGCCCGUCACACCAUGGAAGCUUGUAAUACCCGAAGCCUGCGAGCAAACCGUAAGGAAGCAGCAGUCGAAGGUAGGAUAGGUGACUGGGGUGAAGUCGUAACAAGGUAGCCGUAUCGGAAG